rnacentral:rRNA from 1 species
GAUGAACGCUAGCGGGAGGCCUAACACAUGCCAGCCGAGCGGUAGAGUUUCUUCGGAAACUUGAGAGCGGCGCACGGGUGCGUAACACGUGUGCAACCUACCUUUAUCUGGGGGAUAGCCUUUCGAAAGGAAGAUUAAUACCCCAUAAUAUAAUGAUUGGCAUCAAUUAUUAUUGAAAACUCCGGUGGAUAGAGAUGGGCACGCGCAAGAUUAGAUAGUUGGUGAGGUAACGGCUCACCAAGUCAAUGAUCUUUAGGGGUCCUGAGAGGGAGAUCCCCCACACUGGUACUGAGACACGGACCAGACUCCUACGGGAGGCAGCAGUGAGGAAUAUUGGACAAUGGGUGAGAGCCUGAUCCAGCCAUCCCGCGUGAAGGAGGACGGCCCUAUGGAUUGUAAACUUCUUUUGUACAGGGAUAAACCUACCCUCGUGAGGGUAGCUGAAGGUACUGUACGAAUAAGCACCGGCUAACUCCGUG